AUUGAACGCUGGCGGAAUGCUUUACACAUGCAAGUCGAACGGCAGCACGGGGGCAACCCUGGUGGCGAGUGGCGAACGGGUGAGUAAUACAUCGGAACGUGCCCAGUCGUGGGGGAUAACGUAGCGAAAGCUACGCUAAUACCGCAUACGAUCUACGGAUGAAAGCGGGGGAUCGCAAGACCUCGCGCGAUUGGAGCGGCCGAUGGCAGAUUAGGUAGUUGGUGGGGUAAAGGCUCACCAAGCCUUCGAUCUGUAGCUGGUCUGAGAGGACGACCAGCCACACUGGGACUGAGACACGGCCCAGACUCCUACGGGAGGCAGCAGUGGGGAAUCUUAGACAAUGGGCGAAAGCCUGAUCCAGCCAUGCCGCGUGAGUGAAGAAGGCCUUCGGGUUGUAAAGCUCUUUCAGCCGGAAAGAAAUCGCGCAGGAUAAUACUCUGCGUGGAUGACGGUACCGGAAGAAGAAGCACCGGCUAACUACGUG
rnacentral:rRNA from 1 species